AGACAGAGAAAUUAAACAGAGAGAAUAAGAGCCACGACGCCGUCCUACUCAUUGCCCGAUCCCCAAACAACAGACCGUGGCGUCGGUGGCAAGCUAAGGAGACAACCGCCGCGUCGACCACCGCCCACACCCUAUGCCCGUCCUAAGCAGAACCAAUCCUUUCGCGGCCGCUUUCUGUCCAUACUGGUCGUUCGAGCUUACAGUGUCAUAGCCAGAGGAGCUACUAGAAUCUUUCCCUCUCUCUUCUCAACACCUUCCAACGAUUUGCUCCUGCUGCCGGAACCCAAACUCAUGGGAAGAAAUUAAUUGUCUGAUAGAGAUUAUAAAUUCAAGGGCUGUUGAUGUUUCUAAAGAUGAUCAAAAAAGAAAGGAUUUAGUCCUGUCUGCUAGGGGUGCCAAUGAUCCUAUAGUUACCUGCAACUUGAGAAGACUAACAGAAGAAAAACAGGAUGAUUCAAAUAAAGCUGCAUGGGAUUUGGAAACCCCACUUCCUAAGCCAAUUCCGAAUGAAACUGGAUGCUAACCAAUUGAAAUUGCAAAAGCGUACAUGCAAUCCGGACACCAGAAGUAAACCUAGGUUCUAAGAGAAUUAUAUCAAAAGAUGAAGGGCAAAAGGUGCUUAGUGAUGACUUUGCAUCAGAACCAUUUGUUCCAUUGCCUUCCCCUAAGUCAUCCACAUGCUGGCCAGGAUCCACGGUAAAGGAUCAGCGUGGUUAUCUAACUUCGAACAGUCAAAGAGGAAGAUUUGGGCUUCGCAAUAUUCCAAAUUUCCAAGAACCCCUUACUCUAAAACUAUUCAUUCAAAAUCUAAAAUGAAGUUGAGGAGCAACAUAACGGAUCAUGCCUGGAUCUCUGGGUCCCAUUCACAGGAUUCGAGAUGAUGGCACCAGCGAAGCCCAAUCCAGAGGAUGUGUUUAUUCUCGUUCAUCAUUGAAGGGUCCUUUUCCAGUGGGAAAUUCCAAUGUUUCCAAAAGUGCAUUUUCUUCUAUCAAGAAUAAUUUGGAACAAGGAGGCACCAGUAGCUCUUCAGUUUUUCAGUCAGUAGAUAGUAACAGAAGCUCUGAGGUCAAUAUCCCACCUGUUUGUUCACAGUCCAGUAAAAUGGCCAGGACAAUAUUUGAGCACCUUGAGCGAAACCUAGUCACACCUGAGGAGAAGUCUGAGGAGUUAAAGGUUGCUACUUCAAGCAAAAUAUCAAAAUCUUCAGAUGCUGAUGCCAACAGUUUUUCAUAUUUAGGACUUGAUUCUUCUAAAAUCAAGGAUUAAAUUGGCAACAGAAGUUCUGCUCAUGGGAAUGAACAUAGAGGGAACUCAUUUUCUGUGGCUUCUCCAGAGAGUACCAUUGAGACUAAGAAUGUGAACAGAAUAUCUGCUUCAGAUUUAGAAGUUGAUAACACUGUUACAAUGUUUGGCAAUAAUGGAGGGUCUUCAAUAGCUUUGGAAAAGCUCUGGAUUCUCAGAUCAAGAUUGUACACAAGGAUGACUCAAAGGUCACUGGUGCUCCUGAAAAGCUUUCUAGUCCUUUGGGAAUAAACCAGUUUUGGCUUCUAUUUCUGUCAGCAAGCCUGAGCGAAGGUGGAUGUUUACUUCCGAUAGUAGCACUGGUUUUACUUUCCCUGUUUCCGCAUCUUCAGGUGCGUAUUCUGAGCCUCCAACACCAUCCAUCAUGCCAUUACUACCAGGCAGCAGUCUUCAUCAGCCCAAAAAGGAACAUUCAGGACCUUCGUAUAGCUUUGGCGGCUCAGGCAGAUUGUCUCCUGCCCUUGUUUUUUUCUUUCCCUUCAACAAGCAAUGUCCCUUACCAUGUUGAUGCUUCAGAUAUUACGUUCAACUUCGGAUCUGAUAGGUCUUCAAGGAUAUCUUUCAGUUCAAUAGGAAAAGAUACCAUAUGAUUAUUAUGCUACUGACUGAGGAAUGAUAUUAUUUUCCAUUUUGAGUG